rnacentral:lncRNA from 1 species
CUCAGGAUGCGACCAGUGUAGACAGUACAGUAAACCGGUGGUCCUAGAGUUCACACUCACCAGGGCAGAAAGGACUGGCGCAGGAGACAUAGUUCUCCACUGUUGGCACGGUUCAGAACAAGGCUUCCGUGUGAUCUCCAAGCGCCGUGCCUAGUUUGCUGUGGCUUCCGCCCGCCCGCCCCGCCCUGGCCCUGCAAACCUCUCUCUGCGCCUUGAUACCGCAGGGCGCCUUCUGCGGCUGCUGCUGGGGCGGUGGGCGGCCAGGCAGCUGGAGGAGCCCAUGACGAGGACCAGGAUGAGAACGAAGACUGGACCGAGACGCCCCCAGAUCAUGGCGUCUCUGCGGGAACCGACACAUAGACGAAGGACCUUGUAUACAGAGCUAUUUUACAGAAAUUGCGAGUGGCACCAUGGUAUUUCUUGUGGAGCCUCACCCUCUCCUGUGCCCGCGCCCUGUCGUCCUCUCAGUCCCUGGGCAGACAUUCAUAAGACCGUACCUCUAACCCCAUGGUGAAUCUCACCAAAAAACAAAGGAGAGACCCUUCUCUGGCACCUAUAACGAUCUCUCCUCUCUGAGAGUCGCCCCUUUGCUGCUGGGUGUCUCCCACUUGGGAGAAUCCCUAGCAGGACACUCAUUCAUUUAUUCAACAAGUCUGGCUGUGUAGGUCCCCAUGCUUUGCACUCAAGUAUGGGUGCUAGGUAAGGGGAUAUGAACAGGAUGCCCACCUUUGGGGUAGAUCCUUCAGUUUCUAUCACAGUACGAUUUUGGAGCCCUCUGGUGUUCAAGGAACCAGUCUGUGGACACCCAAGCAUGGGAAAAGCCCCAGGUCCUCCCUACACUCAGGCUGGGGUGCCUAAGCUGGGGGGGGGGGUCCUGACAGAGAACAGAGCCAGGUCUUGGGGACACUGGAGGUUUGCUAGUGUGUGAAUGUGUACCUCCGAAAGUUCAUGGUCCCCAGCGCAGCAGCACUGAGAGAGGAGAGCUCUGCCAGGACCUUUGUGGACAGGUUAAUCCUGUCAUGGAUUAACAAGUUGUCUUGAGUGUAAGUUAUAAAGAUGAGUUCCCUCGGGCACACUUGUCCAGUCUGCACGUGAUACCUCCACGUGUCAUGACAUAGCACAAAGCCAUCAGUCACAGCAAACACCGGGCAUUAGGCGCUAGCCCCAUUCUCUCAAACUUCCCUGCCUCCAGAACCAUGAGCUAAAUAAAACACUGUUCUCUCUA